rnacentral:rRNA from 1 species
AUUGAACGCUGGCGGCAGGCUUAACACAUGCAAGUCGAGCGGUAACAGAGAGAGGCUUGCUUCUCUGCUGACGAGCGGCGGACGGGUGAGUAAUGCCUAGGAAUCUGCCUAGUAGUGGGGGAUAACUUGCCGAAAGGUAAGCUAAUACCGCAUACGUCCUACGGGAGAAAGGAGGGGACCUUCGGGCCUUUCGCUAUUAGAUGAGCCUAGGUCGGAUUAGUUAGUUGGUGAGGUAAUGGCUCACCAAGACCGCGAUCCGUAACUGGUCUGAGAGGAUGAUCAGUCACACUGGAACUGAGACACGGUCCAGACUCCUACGGGAGGCAGCAGUGGGGAAUAUUGGACAAUGGGGGGGAACCCUGAUCCAGCCAUGCCGCGUGUGUGAAGAAGGUCUUAGGAUUGUAAAGCACUUUAAGUUGGGAGGAAGAGCAGUUAACUAAUAUUUGACUGUUUUGACGUUACCGACAGAAUAAGCACCGGCUAACUUCGUG